rnacentral:rRNA from 1 species
AACGAACGCUGGCGGCAGGCCUAACACAUGCAAGUCGAACGAACCCUUCGGGGUGAGUGGCGCACGGGUGCGUAACACGUGGGAAUAUACAUUUCGGUAAGGAAUAACACAGAGAAAUUUGUGCUAAUACCUUAUAAUGACUCCGGUCCAAAGAUUUAUCGCCGAAAGAUUAGCCUGCGCUAGAUUAGUUUGUUGGUGAGGUAAGAGCUCACCAAGACUACGAUCUAUAGGGGGUUUGAGAGGAUGAUCCCCCACACUGGAACUGAGACACGGUCCAG